ACUGUAUUUCAAUGAUCAUUUUUCUUUCCUGAUAUGCCAGAUGUUAGAAGUAUUAGGCAUCACACCCCGCGAUCUCACGCAAACUGUUCUGGACACUGCCUACAGCUUGAUUGCAAACGGGUUUAUACGAAAGUCUAAGAGACAUAAAGGGGUUAGUGAAGAAACUAAUGAAGAAAGAAAUGAAAAACGUGGAGGACCACAAACGACACAAGAAGUCGAUGACGAAAAG